UACGAAGGGGGCUAGCGUUGCUCGGAAUCACUGGGCGUAAAGCGCACGUAGGCGGAUUGCUAAGUCAGGGGUGAAAUCCUGGAGCUCAACUCCAGAACUGCCUUUGAUACUGGCGAUCUCGAGUCCGGGAGAGGUGAGUGGAACUGCGAGUGUAGAGGUGAAAUUCGUAGAUAUUCGCAAGAACACCAGUGGCGAAGGUGGCUCACUGGCCCGGUACUGACGCUGAGGUGCGAAAGCGUGGGGAGCAAACAGG
rnacentral:rRNA from 1 species